AUUGAACGCUGGCGGCAUGCCUUACACAUGCAAGUCGAACGGCAGCACGGGAGCAAUCCUGGUGGCGAGUGGCGAACGGGUGAGUAAUAUAUCGGAACGUGCCCAGUCGUGGGGGAUAACGUAGCGAAAGCUACGCUAAUACCGCAUACGAUCUAUGGAUGAAAGCGGGGGAUCGCAAGACCUCGCGCGAUUGGAGCGGGCCGAUAUCAGAUUAGGUAGUUGGUGAGGUAAAGGCUCACCAAGCCGACGAUCUGUAGCUGGUCUGAGAGGACGACCAGCCACACUGGGACUGAGACACGGCCCAGACUCCUACGGGAGGCAGCAGUGGGGGAAUUUUUGGACAAUGGGCGGCAA
rnacentral:rRNA from 1 species